rnacentral:rRNA from 1 species
GACAGAGGGUGCAAACGUUGUUCGGAAUUACUGGGCGUAAAGGGCGUGUAGGUGGUAAUGUAAGUCUGGCGUGAAAUUUUUCGGCUUAACCGGGAAAGGUCGUCGGAUACUGCAUGACUAGAGGACGGUAGAGGCGUGUGGAAUUCCUGGUGUAGCGGUGGAAUGCGCAGAUAUCAGGAGGAACACCGAUGGCGAAGGCAGAUCUCUGGGCCGUAACUGACGCUGAGGAGCGAAAGCAUGGGGGAGCGAACAGG